AUCGCUUCUUGGCCUUUUGGCUAAGAUCAAUGGUAGUAUCUGUUAUCAGUUUAAUAUGGAUGGCAAACUCGAGGCUCUCUCCAACAGCUGGGAAGCUGGAGCCCCGCCACCCUCC
rnacentral:snRNA from 1 species